rnacentral:rRNA from 1 species
AGUGAACGCUGGCGGUAGGCCUAACACAUGCAAGUCGAACGGCAGCACAGUAAGAGCUUGCUCUUACGGGUGGCGAGUGGCGGACGGGUGAGGAAUACAUCGGAAUCUACUUUUUCGUGGGGGAUAACGUAGGGAAACUUACGCUAAUACCGCAUACGACCUACGGGUGAAAGCAUGGGAUCUUCGGACCUUGCGCGAUUGAAUGCGCCGAUGUCGGAUUAGCUAGUUGGCGGGGUAAAGGCCCACCAAGGCGACGAUCCGUAGCUGGUCUGAGAGGAUGAUCAGCCACACUGGAACUGAGACACGGUCCAGACUCCUACGGGAGGCAGCAGUGGGGAAUAUUGGACAGUGGGCGCAAGCCUGAUCCAGCCAUACCGCGUGGGUGAAGAAGGCCUUCGGGUUGUAAAGCCCUUUUGUUGGGAAAGAAAAGCAGCAGGUUAAGACCCCGCUGUUCUGACGGUACCCAAAGAAUAAGCACCGGCUAACUUCGUG